GAUGAACGCUGGCGGCGUGCUUAACACAUGCAAGUCGAACGGAAAGGCCCAAGCUUGCUUGGGUACUCGAGUGGCGAACGGGUGAGUAACACGUGGGUGAUCUGCCCUGCACUUCGGGAUAAGCCUGGGAAACUGGGUCUAAUACUGGAUAGGACCACUUCUUGGAUGUUGUGGUGGAAAGUUUUUUCGGUGUGGGAUGAGCUCGCGGCCUAUCAGCUUGUUGGUGGGGUAUUGGCCUACCAAGGCGUCGACGGGUAGCCGGCCUGAGAGGGUGUACGGCCACAUUGGGACUGAGAUACGGCCCAGACUCCUACGGGAGGCAGAAGGGGGGAAUAUUGCACAAUGGGCGCAAGCCUGAUGCAGCGACGCCGCGUGGGGGAUGACGGCCUUCGGGUUGUAAACUCCUUUCGCUAGGGACGAAGCGUUUUGUGACGGUACCUGGAGAAGAAGCACCGGCUAACUACGUG
rnacentral:rRNA from 1 species